CCUCCGUGUUUGCUUACAAUGUACAGAUUGUGGGUCCCUUUGCCCACUUGCGGGAAGACUCGCCUCUCGUGGACUUGCUGCCGUAGCGUGAGUAGAACAGCCGAUGAGUGAAUCACAACGCAAGGCCAGCAGAGGCUUCAAAGAUGCCACGGGAGCUAUUUCUGGAUUUCUUGAAGAAGCCAUAUUGAAAAGCUCAUUGACAGCUUUGGAGAUGCAUUGGUGUUGCUUUUUUCUGUCACAAUACUGGCACUGUUCAGUGAACUAUGAUAUUUGUCUUCAACAUUAUCAUUUAUUUGACCCUUGGGGAGAGAUUACAGAAGGAGGGGGGGGACAAGUAGAGAAAAAAAUAGAGUACAGCAAAUAUGCAAAAAUACACAGCACAAAAUACAGCAAUAAAGGUGGUGUGUUAAUAUGA